rnacentral:rRNA from 1 species
UGCCCUACAGUUCCCCGCCCGGGAGCAAGGAGCUGGUAUCAGGCACACCCCAUUGAGCCCAUGACACCUUGCUUAGCCACACCCUCAAGGGAACUCAGCAGUGAUAAACAUUAAGCCAUAAGUGAAAACUUGACUUAGUUAAAGCUAAGAGGGCCGGUAAAACUCGUGCCAGCCACCGCGGUUAUACGAGAGGCCCAAGUUGACAAACACCGGCGUAAAGAGUGGUUAAGUUAAAACUCACACUAAAGCCAAACGUCUUCAAGGCUGUUAUACGCAACCGAAGACAGGAAGUUCAACCACGAAGGUGGCUUUACCUGAUCUGAACCCACGAAAGCUAAGGAACAAACUGGGAUUAGAUACCCCACUAUGCCUAGCCCUAAACAUUGAUAGUACUAUACACCCACUAUCCGCCCGGGAACUACGAGCAAUAGCUUAAAACCCAAAGGACUUGGCGGUGCUUUAGAUCCACCUAGAGGAGCCUGUUCUAGAACCGAUAACCCCCGUUCAACCUCACCCUUCCUUGUUUAACCCGCCUAUAUACCGCCGUCGUCAGCUUACCCUGUGAGGGACUAAUAGUAAGCAAAACUGGUAUAACCUUAAACGUCAGGUCGAGGUGUAGCGUAUGGAGGGGGAAGAAAUGGGCUACAUUCGCUUCUACAGCGAACACGAAUGAUGUGCUGAAACGUACAUCUGAAGGAGGAUUUAGCAGUAAGCAG